AUGACAUUGUCGACAUCGGAGCUGAACGGUGCCGGCGUGUCGCCUCUGUACCUGGCGGUGACGAGCGGGUCGGUGAAUGCCUUCGGAGCAAUAGUAUCGCAUGGUGACGCGUCGGCUGCCGGACCGAAUCUGCAGAAUGUUUUGCACGCCGCUGUUCUCGGAAGUUCAGGUUUGCUUAUCGUUUAUCAUCGCUUCACAUGCACAUCGUGUGUUGUGUUGUCUUGCACAAAACUAUGUGCAGCUGUGGUCGACAACCAGGUUUCGCUCAGUUUACUCUUUUAUGCGGCUCCGACCAUCAACAUAGACGUAGCAAAUCUCAGAGUCCUUUUACAGUACAUCUAA
rnacentral:rRNA from 1 species